AAAACAACUGCUGCAAUCUCCUUAUGAUUUAUUGUGCCUUAAUUUACUAUUAAUUUCAUUCAUAAUUAUUCACUUACUGAACGCUAUUAUAAAAGUAUAUACGUUUGUUUAUGUUAAAUAAAAGAUAAACAUGAGAAAAGAGUCGUAUCUUCCCUUAAAAUGCAUCUUGAACAAUCGGGUCCCACCUAGCGAGGACCCCUAAGAUGGCGGCCAUCGCGAUGCCUGUGCGCAAGUCGCAACGGAUGCACUUGUCACGAAGGACACAAGACAGAAGCUCUGUCCCAGACGCUCUCGAGUUACGUUGAGACUGAGGAUUCCCCAAUCUUCCACAAUGGACUUCACAUAGGAUGAACUGUUUCCGGUUUCAGCAAAACAGCAAGAAUUUAUGAAUGGAUGACUGCACCUUAGCACUCUUCACUCCCACUGCAUGCCUCACCUGGGCCACAGAGAAAACAAUGUUGCUGCCUGUACAUGGCACAUUUAACCUCUAACCUUACAGCUGAAUCAAUGCAGUAACACUGUUAACUACCAAUGAUAUUGUACCAAAUGUUCAGACUGAAUAUACAGAGAACUGGUCCCCAGUGUUUUUGGUUAGUCUGGUUUCUCCAAAGGUUUUUUUUACUCCAGUAUCGACAUCUUACAGUUUUUUCUUAAUUAACCCCUGUUGCCUUUGGCUUGCUUGCUGUAUGUAUGACGACUAAUGCAUUUAACACCAACUAUUAAAACAGUGAGGGUGUUUUUGACAACAUA